rnacentral:rRNA from 1 species
UGCGUAGGCGGAUAGAUGUGUCAGGUGUGAAAUCUCGGGGCUCAACCUCGAAACUGCGCCUGAAACUGUCUAUCUAGAGUAUUGGAGGGGUAAGUGGAAUUUCCUGUGUAGCGGUGAAAUGCGUAGAUAUAGGAAGGGACACCAGUGGCGAAGGCGACCACCUGGACUGAUACUGACACUGAGGUGCGAAAGCGUGGGGAGCAAACA